rnacentral:lncRNA from 1 species
UAAUUUGGGUUGUUCUUCAAUGUGGAACCCACCACAAGAGCCAUUAAACUCACAACAACCAUUAUCAACCCAUUCCUGUGAGCCGCCCAGAGAAAAACCAAGAUUUUCUGAAUAUAACUGCACCUAAAUGAUCAUCUCCCGCUGCCAAGCCUGCAUCAUUAAGUUGUAGGUUGCUUCGAGGCUGAGCACGGUGCUGCCGUGAGGAGAGGCGUUGUCUAAUAGGUGCAUUCAUUCUCCGCCUGCCUGUGCGUGGCUGCAAAACCCAUGCACCUUGCGGUGGUGCUAGUCCGAAGGAAGGCCGCCAUGCGUGGAAGCACCGUGUGAGGCUCUUCUUGGCUGGUGAUGCCACCGCACUUGGAAGCACCAGUGAAGGUUGUUCCCAUGUGAUGUAGGCGGCUCCAAAGCUUGGACUACUGCCGGUGUUGGAAGGCUGCCGUAUAGAGUUUCGGUGCUGUACAACCGAUGACGGUGCAGUCCACGUGGGUCGUGGCGAGCAUGGCACUGUCGGUGAUGGUGCAGGCCAUGCGGGUGGCGGCAAAAUAGGAUCUUGGAGGUUUCGGUUACAGGUGAUAUUAAGA